UGUUGCACAAAGACCGGGAAGCCUG
rnacentral:piRNA from 1 species